rnacentral:lncRNA from 1 species
CCUCCUCCAUCACCGAUAUGUGCCCCUGUUUCAACCUCACGUCACCGGCCGACCUCCUUCAGCGCCACCGGGAAUGGCUCACACCCUCCUCCCUCAUGCCCACGGAUCGACGCUUGCCCAACGCCCAGUUCAUCAAGAUCUUCACCACAUGGUAUGUCUCUCUUGCGCCUCACCUGCGAUACAUCGGCAUCUGUCACCACCUGGUCCUGAGAUUUCCGUCAUGGGAUGUGUGCAGGCAGUGGUACAAAGAUAAAUUGUGGGACGUGAAGCAGCUGGUGAGUUCCGGGGGAUGCCACCGUCGCAUCAAACGUCUUUCCGCUUACAGGAAGGUUUCAGAUGCUCCCUCUUCGCCACCACUCCAUCUCCAGUAUAGUAGCUAAUUAUAAAUUUAUAAGUCAAGACUAAAGUUUUCAUAGGAAUUUGAAGACUGCACGUCUUGGUUCAGUUAUUGAUUAUACAGGACAUAGGGAAACAGCAAGUGCCUUAAACAACCUGCUAAAAUCUUGAUUACAUAGCCAUGGUGGUGAUAUUGUCUGGCUAUGAAGAUCAAGGACGGAGCCAGAUUUGGAGCAUGUUCUGGGCUGGUGAUUGUAAAUUUGCUUUGUGACAUUAAGCAACACAUUUUCUCUCUUAUCUCUAAUACAUCUUUACUGGUCUUAUAAGCGAUACUGCAGGGUUACCACUUACCAUGAUACAUGAUUUCCACAGAAACACAAAUACAGGAGUAUAUUUGUUCUAGGACAGAGUGAAUUAUGAGGAGGAGACAUAACA